AAGCAAUUAUACCGCGAAACUGCGAAUGGCUCAUUAUAUAAGUUAUCGUUUAUUUGAUAGUACCUUACUACUUGGAUAACCGUGGUAAUUCUAGAGCUAAUACAUGCUAAAAAUCCCGACUUCGGAAGGGAUGUAUUUAUUAGAUUAAAAACCAAUGCCCUUCGGGGCUCACUGGUGAUUCAUGAUAACUCCUCGAAUCGCAUGGCCUUGUGCCGGCGAUGGUUCAUUCAAAUUUCUUCCCUAUCAACUUUCGAUGUUUGGGUAUUGGCCAAACAUGGUUGCAACGGGUAACGGAGGGUUAGGGCUCGACCCCGGAGAAGGAGCCUGAGAAACGGCUACUACAUCCAAGGAAGGCAGCAGGCGCGCAAAUUACCCAAUCCCGACACGGGGAGGUAGUGACAAUAAAUACUGAUACAGGGCUCUUUUGGGUCUUGUAAUUGGAAUGAGUACAAUUUAAAUCCCUUAACGAGGAACAAUUGGAGGGCAAGUCUGGUGCCAGCAGCCGCGGUAAUUCCAGCUCCAAUAGCGUAUAUUAAAGUUGUUGUGGUUAAAAAGCUCGUAGUUGAACCUUGGGCCUGGCUGGCCGGUCCGCCUCACCGCGUGUACUGGUCCGGCCGGGCCUUUCCCUCUGUGGAACCCCAUGCCCUUCACUGGGUGUGGCGGGGAAACAGGACUUUUACUGUGAAAAAAUUAGAGUGCUCCAGGCAGGCCUAUGCUCGAAUACAUUAGCAUGGAAUAAUAGAAUAGGACGUGUGGUUCUAUUUUGUUGGUUUCUAGGACCGCCGUAAUGAUUAAUAGGGACAGUCGGGGGCAUCAGUAUUCAAUUGUCAGAGGUGAAAUUCUUGGAUUUAUUGAAGACUAACUACUGCGAAAGCAUUUGCCAAGGAUGUUUUCAUUAAUCAGGAACGAAAGUUAGGGGAUCGAAGACGAUCAGAUACCGUCGUAGUCUUAACCAUAAACUAUGCCGACUAGGGAUCGGACGGUGUUAUUUUUUGACCCGUUCGGCACCUUACGAGAAAUCAAAGUGCUUGGGCUCCAGGGGGAGUAUGGUCGCAAGGCUGAAACUUAAGAAAUUGACGGAAGGGCACC
rnacentral:rRNA from 2 species